GAUGAACGCUGGCGGCGUGCCUAAUACAUGCAAGUCGAGCGAACAGAUGAGGAGCUUGCUCCUCUGACGUUAGCGGAGGACGGGUGAGUAACACGUGGAUAACCUACCUAUAAGACUGGGAUAACUUCGGGAAACCGGAGCUAAUACCGGAUAAUAUAUUGAACCGCAUGGUUCAAUAGUGAAAGACGGUUUUGCUGUCACUUAUAGAUGGAUCCGCGCCGCAUUAGCUAGUUGGUAAGGUAACGGCUUACCAAGGCAACGAUGCGUAGCCGACCUGAGAGGGUGAUCGGCCACACUGGAACUGAGACACGGUCCAGACUCCUACGGGAGGCAGCAGUAGGGAAUCUUCCGCAAUGGGCGAAAGCCUGACGGAGCAACGCCGCGUGAGUGAUGAAGGUCUUCGGAUCGUAAAACUCUGUUAUUAGGGAAGAACAAAUGUGUAAGUAACUAUGCACGUCUUGACGGUACCUAAUCAGAAAGCCACGGCUAACUACGUG
rnacentral:rRNA from 1 species